GCUGGCGGCGUGCUUAACACAUGCAAGUCGAACGAUGAAGCCCAGCUUGCUGGGUGGAUUAGUGGCGAACGGGUGAGUAACACGUGAGCAACCUGCCCCUGACUCUGGGAUAAGCGCUGGAAACGGCGUCUAAUACUGGAUACGAACAAGAAUCGCAUGGUUACUUGUUGGAAAGAUUUUUUGGUUGGGGAUGGGCUCGCGGCCUAUCAGCUUGUUGGUGAGGUAAUGGCUCACCAAGGCGUCGACGGGUAGCCGGCCUGAGAGGGUGACCGGCCACACUGGGACUGAGACACGGCCCAGACUCCUACGGGAGGCAGCAGUGGGGAAUAUUGCACAAUGGGCGGAAGCCUGAUGCAGCAACGCCGCGUGAGGGAUGACGGCCUUCGGGUUGUAAACCUCUUUUAGCAGGGAAGAAGCGAGAGUGACGGUACCUGCAGAAAAAGCGCCGGCUAACUACGUGCCAGCAGCCGCGGUAAUACGUAGGGCGCAAGCGUUAUCCGGAAUUAUUGGGCGUAAAGAGCUCGUAGGCGGUUUGUCGCGUCUGCUGUGAAAUCCCGAGGCUCAACCUCGGGCCUGCAGUGGGUACGGGCAGACUAGAGUGCGGUAGGGGAGAUUGGAAUUCCUGGUGUAGCGGUGGAAUGCGCAGAUAUCAGGAGGAACACCGAUGGCGAAGGCAGAUCUCUGGGCCGUAACUGACGCUGAGGAGCGAAAGGGUGGGGAGCAAACAGGCUUAGAUACCCUGGUAGUCCACCCCGUAAACGUUGGGAACUAGUUGUGGGGUCCAUUCCACGGAUUCCGUGACGCAGCUAACGCAUUAAGUUCCCCGCCUGGGGAGUACGGCCGCAAGGCUAAAACUCAAAGGAAUUGACGGGGACCCGCACAAGCGGCGGAGCAUGCGGAUUAAUUCGAUGCAACGCGAAGAACCUUACCAAGGCUUGACAUAUACGAGAACGGGCCAGAAAUGGUCAACUCUUUGGGACNCUCGUAAACAGGUGGUGCAUGG
rnacentral:rRNA from 1 species